GUCAUUUGGGAUCUUGUUAAAAUGCAGAUUCUGAUUAAAUGAAUUUGACAUAGGUCUGAGAUUUUGCAUUUUUAACAAGCUCCCAGGUGAUGCGUA
rnacentral:pre_miRNA from 1 species